GGCUUCAUAGCCUAGUUGGUUAGAGCGUCGCACCGGAAUUGUGAGGUAACGGGUUCAAACCCCGUUGAAGUCC
rnacentral:tRNA from 1 species